GCCUGGAGGAUGGGUGGGAAACCUGGGAAUCCAGCUUUGAAAGACAGAGCUGGUUGGACUUUCCCGCAUUUUGCAUCACGUCGGUUUAAUAAGCGUUCGCUUCCUCUUCGUCCGCGACUCUGCGCCUUCCGCUUUCCUUCAGUCAUUCGCUGGGGGUCUAUGCUUCAGCUUGUGGGAAUGAGUUUCAGGGCCCCUUGGGCACCUCCUGCUGAACCCUUCAGGAAUGAAAACAGAGCAUACCAUUUCUGUGCCGGUACUCAUCCCAAGAGUCACCUCUUCUGUCACCUCCCCCAGACCUAUUUAGGACACCCUUUCUCUGCGCUCCUAGUUUGUAACUAACAUCUCUAAGAGGCACUAAUUACAGCCCAGUCCCUAGAUGAUGACUCCUAGUUCCUGUGCAUUUGUAAGUGUACGUGUUAUUUUUUUACACUCAGCAUUGAGAUCUUUCCAUAUCUAUACAUAAAUCUACCUCAUUCUCUGAAAAUGCUGCAUGCCUUCAGAACCAAUAUGUGUGUGUGUGUGUGUGUGUGUGUGUAUAAAAUUAAUGUAUCAUUUCCCCACCCUCAGAUAUGUUUGGUUAUUAAUAUGAGAAUCAGUGCUACCAUAAACACAUGUGUAAGUGCCUUUUUGUACUUAUGUCCAAGUAUUCUCUAGAGUACAGAUACCAACAAGAGAAUGUACUGGAUCAUAGAGUAUGCAUGACGUAAAUCCUUAAUAGAGUUCACUGACUUGUUCCCUUGACUAGUUGUUAUAACUCACAUUCCUUACCCCUAGUAUUUGAGCAAUCUUUUCCCUGUAUCCUUGCCAAAAUUGAUAAAAUACAAUUUAAAAAAUAUUUCUAAACUGAUAGCUGUGAAAACCUUUUAAAGGAUAACACAUAUACAAAAUAAGUGAAAUAAUCAUAAGUGCUUGUCUUGGUGACAGUGUGAGCAAACUUGUGUAACAACGCCUCAUACCAAUAUUUUAAAUGUUUACCAGCAACAUGGAAGCUUUCCUCAUGCUCAGUCUUAGUCAUUAUGUCCCAACACACAAGUAGCCACAAUUCUGAAUCCUAUCACCAAAUUAGUUUUGCCUUCUUUUGAAUGUUUAUAAAUAACCAUACAUAGUAUGUGCUCUUAUAUGGCCCUCUUUGCUUAAUACUAUAUUUGUAAGAUUGAUGAAUAUUAAAGAAUGUAAUAGUUUCAUUUUCAUUUUUGCAUAUAAUUCGAAAAUUUACUUGUCUAUUCUACUGUUGUUUGACAUUAGGUUAUUUAAUGUUUGGGGUAAUUACAAAUGAUACUGCUAUGAAUAUUCUAGUAACUGUCUUAUGAUGCACAUAGUUACACAUUUGAUUUUGGAAGAUCCCUAAAUGUAGUAUUAUUCUGCACAGGACAUAUUUUCAAUAUACUCAACAUUAGUAGACACUGCCAAAUGGUUUUUAUGUUUUACUAAUUUAUACAUGCACUAACUGUGAAUGAAAAUUUCAGUUACUCUGCAUCUCUGUCAACACUUACUAUACUCAUUUGUGUUUUGUGUCCUUCCUUUUUCUUCUCCUUUUUAAAUGUUAUACAUUCUGGUGACUAUGUAGAGGUGUCACAUUGUGGAUUUAAUUGCCUUUACUCAAGUGUAGCCUCUGGAGUCUCAGAGAAAUUGAUGGAAACCACUCCUGAGGAAGCCCAGAUAUUAGACUUACUAGACAAAAUUUAAGUCAACUAUCUUACGUAUACUCAAAGAACUAACAGAAACUAUGAACAUAAAACCUGAAGGAAACUAGGGGAAUGAUGUAUAAACAAAAGGAAAAUACCAAUAAAAAGAUAGAAAUUAUCAAAAGGAACCAAAUAGGAAAUCUUGGGCUUGCAAGUACAAUAACUGAAAUGAAAACUUCACUUCAGAAUUUCAAGAGACAAUUUUAGCAUGUCAAAGGAUGAAUCAGUGAACUUGAAGAUAAGGAAAAUGAGCAAAGCCUAAGGGACCUAUGGGACAUCAACAAGGAUACCAAAAUAAAUAUUACAGAAGUCACACAAG